rnacentral:rRNA from 1 species
AUACGGAGGGUGCAAGCGUUACUCGGAAUCACUGGGCGUAAAGCGCGCGCAGGCGGGCUGAUAAGUUGGAUGUGAAAGCCUACGGCUCAACCGUAGAACUGCAUCCAAAACUGUCAGUCUAGAGUGUGGGAGAGGAAGAUGGAAUUAGUUGUGUAGGGGUAAAAUCCGUAGAGAUAACUAGGAAUACCAAAAGCGAAGGCAAUCUUCUGGAACACUACUGACGCUGAGGCGCGAAAGCGUGGGGAGCAAACAGGAGUAGAAACCCCAGUAGUCC